rnacentral:ncRNA from 1 species
CAACUGAACACGGGGAGCCUGGUAGCCCAGGCUGAGAGGAAGGCGCCAGCCUUCGACCCAAUGUACCUGAUCCGGGUAAUGCCGGCGGAGGGAAAGGAUCCUGUCAACUUG